rfam:Ponticoccus sp. SJ5A-1 ZB100000, whole genome shotgun sequence.
GGAUCGAGUGGCUGGCGGUGGGACGCCGGCCGAGAAUGGAUCGGGUCAUCCGCCGUGACUGACGGAAUGCGCCGCCGGGGCCCGACGGCCGGCGCG